CCAAAGUUGUCUUUCCUUCAUCCACGCAAAUUCAUUUUCAUGAGGAAAAACUCAAAUCCAAAAUGAAACAAGAACAUCCGUCUAACCCAUUCUCCUUUCCAACAAGCAAGUAGGAUCAAAUACUCACUGAAAUUUCUCAAACAGAGAUAAAGCUCCAGUUCAUUUCAGUCCAGAAACAAACAGGCACCACCAUCUCAUUCAAGGCUUUGAGCAUCAUGAGGAUUAGCACUGCUAUUCCGAUUCAGAGAUAACGUUAAACGACAGGCAUUGCCUAUACAGGUUGAGCAGUUGAUGGAAUGGAAUGAUGUUGAGCGGGUGUUCCUUUGACAUUUCAAGAAAUAUAACCUUGAGUAUACAUCUUCAUAUGUAUAUCUCACACGUUUUCCGCUGCAAAACACUUUGAUUAGGAUAACUUUAUGUUAUGAAAUUGUGACACGUGUUAUUGGGUAACCCACCUUAAUCAAUUCUCAUUUAUGUGUAUGUUUUAUAAGUAUCCAAAUAAUCAUAUAUGAUCCUAGCAUUUUAUCUA